rnacentral:rRNA from 1 species
GCACCGGCUAACUACGUGCCAGCAGCCGCGGUAAUACGUAGGGUGCGAGCGUUAAUCGGAAUUACUGGGCGUAAAGCGGGCGCAGACGGUUACUUAAGCAGGAUGUGAAAUCCCCGGGCUCAACCUGGGAACUGCGUUCUGAACUGGGUAACUAGAGUGUGUCAGAGGGGGGUAGAAUUCCACGUGUAGCAGUGAAAUGCGUAGAGAUGUGGAGGAAUACCGAUGGCGAAGGCAGCCCCCUGGGAUAACACUGACGUUCAAGCCCGAAAGCGUGGGGAGCAAACAGGAUUAGAUACCCUGGUAGUCCACGCCCUAAACGAUGUCAAUUAGCUGUUGGGGCACUUGAUGCCUUAGUAGCGUAGCUAACGCGUGAAAUUGACCGCCUGGGGAGUACGGUCGCA